rnacentral:rRNA from 1 species
UACGGGGGGGGCAAGCGUUGUUCGGAAUUACUGGGCGUAAAGGGCUCGUAGGCGGCCAACUAAGUCAGACGUGAAAUCCCCAGGCUCAACCUGGGAACUGCGUCUGAUACUGGAUGGCUUGAAUCCGGGAGAGGGAUGCAGAAUUCCAGGUGUAGCGGUGAAAUGCGUAGAUAUCUGGAGGAACACCGGUGGCGAAGGCGACGUCCUGGACCGGCAUUGACGCUGAGGCGCGAAAGCCAGGGGAGCAAACGGG